rnacentral:rRNA from 1 species
CCGUUGCCGGCGACCGGCGCACGGGUGAGUAACACGUAUGCAACCUGCCCGUGGCAGGGGGAUAAGCGGGGGAAACCCGUCUAAUACCGCGUAACGCGGCCUUGGGGCAUCCCAAGGCCGCCAAAGGGAGCAAUCCCGGCCACGGAUGGGCAUGCGGCGCAUUAGCUAGUCGGCGGGGUAACGGCCCACCGAGGCGACGAUGCGUAGGGGUUCUGAGAGGAAGGCCCCCCACACUGGUACUGAGACACGGACCAGACUCCUACGGGAGGCAGCAG